AGGCUCUCCGAGCUGGACAAGCCAGACCUGAUCUAGAGAUUGUGAGUGUUUGACAAAAGAAAUUGUUCAAAUUAACCACAAUACAUUUCCCAUUCUAGAUUGAAGUCAACCUUCUACGUUUACUGUCAUAACCAGAGUGUGUUCCAAUGUUACAGAUCCUUCCUGUUGGUGGUGGAGUACCUGUAAGUAACCAUAGCAACAUAGUGAAAUAGACUGUGCUGUUGUGUUAGUGAUGCUACACCAGUGCAUCAAACAAUAAUAGAGUGAAUGUUCAAUCCAGUCAAUAUCACAGGUGUUAACUUAUCGGAAUUCAGAAUGUCAUGAUGAAAGUGUGUGUGUGAAUGUGUGUGUGUGUGUGUCCAAACAUAGUCGGGUGGUUUCAUCAAACAGGAGAUCCCCCAGCCACUCGGCCAGGAGAGCGUUGAGAUCUACCACCCCUUCUUCAUUCAGGUUGCCCCUCCUGCUCCUGCUUCACCUGCCCAUACUCAUACAUCCGAUGAGGAAGAUGAAUAGAGAUAUUACCAAUACUUGGAGAUCUACAAUACCCUUCGAUGAAACAACGAUGUCCUUCAACUCCACAGCUGCUCUUAGUGUCCUAGAUUGAUUCAGUAAAUGCAUUGCUUAACCCAGCAAUUAACAUAGAGUAACAUGGUGCUGAACCGAUUGCUUGAUGCAUGAAAGCUGUGUGUAAUUGUUUGUACCUGGCAGAAUAAUGUUAAUAAAACCCCCAGAAUGUUUUGCCAACCUUC
rnacentral:lncRNA from 1 species